CAUUCUCAGCUGAGUGAGGACCAUGGGGAGCACCAGCUCAGGGGUUAAAAGGUUGCUGUGGUUCAAAUGACGGUGUCCUCUCUAAAAUACAUGUUGAAUAAUCCCUAAUGUACUGAGAGCUGCGGCCUUUGGGAGGUGAUUAAGUCAUGAGGACUCUGCCUUCAUGAAUGGGAUUAGCACCCUAAUAAAAGGGGACAAGUUUGAAGAGAGCACUCUCUUGCUCUUUCAUGCCUUCCACUUGUGAGGACACAGCAUUCUUUCCCUUUGGAGGAUUCAGCAACAAGGCACCAUCUUCGAGACAGAGCAACCCUUACCCAACACAGAACCUGCUGGCACCUUGAUCUUGGACUUCCCAGCUUCCAAAACUAUGAGACUAUUAAUAUAUUUCUAUUGCUUGUAGCUUACCCAACCUGUAGAAUUUUGUUGUAGCAGCACAAAGGGUCAAAACCAUAUGUAAGAAAUUUUAACACCUAUCUGUUCUGAAGAACUAAACCAGAAUAAUAAAUACUUUUCAGAAGGAUUUUGACUCAUAAAAGAGUAUUACAGCAAUUUUUUUCUUCUCAUGUCAGAGAGAAAAAAUUAUUAAUAAGAUUAAAUUCAAUAAGAGUUUAGAAGACUUGAAAAUUAAUGGGAGUUAAUGUUUUAUCUUAGUAUUUUAUUUCUUUGCAUUUGUUCAUAGUUUAAAUUCUUUUGAAAUUAUUUUAAUAAAAAGAUGUAAUGAAUUUUUAAAUAUCUGUAGAAUUGUGUGAUACAGUCUGAAACGUUUAGUGUUAUCUGAAAAAAAAUUCUCAUUCCUGGGUUGACAAAUCUCAGCUGUCACAAUGCACCUGAAGGCAGUCAACCCUUAUGUCAACUGAAGUUACCUGGAAAUGUGGAACAGAGAAUAGAGGAGCUUGGCUCAAGACUAAGGGUAGAAGAUGUUCAAGUUGACUUGAUCACUCUUACCUAGAGUCAACUUUAAUCCAAAGUUCUAUUAAUUCAUUCCUGAAUGAAUUCAAGACUUCCUGUGGGAAUAUUCCCACUGAUUUUUUUCUCACUCUUCACCCAAUCUCAAGAUAAGAUGACUUCUAAAAACUACAUGAGUGUGGCCGGGCGCGGUGGCUCUUGCCUGUAAUCCCAGCACUUUGAGAGGCCAAGGCGGAAAAAUCACGAGGUCAGGAGUUUGAGACCAGCCUGGCCAACAUAGUGAAACCCCGUCUCUACUAAAAAUACAAAAAAUUAGCU
rnacentral:lncRNA from 10 species